GCGCGGGUGGCGGAAUCGGCAGACGCGCAAGCUUGAGGGGCUUGUAAGAGUAAUCUUGUGGGAGUUCAAAUCUCCCCCCGCGCA
rnacentral:tRNA from 1 species